UACGUAGGGGGCAAGCGUUGUCCGGAAUCAUUGGGCGUAAAGCGCGUGUAGGCGGUUCGGUAAGUCUGCUGUGAAAGUCCAGGGCUCAACCCUGGGAUGCCGGUGGAUACUGUCGGACUAGAGUACGGAAGAGGCGAGUGGAAUUCCCGGUGUAGCGGUGAAAUGCGCAGAUAUCGGGAGGAACACCAAUUGCGAAGGCAGCUCGCUGGGACGUCACUGACGCUGAGACGCGAAAAGCGUGGGGAGCAAACGG
rnacentral:rRNA from 1 species